rnacentral:rRNA from 1 species
GGUUAAGCGACUAAGCGUACACGGUGGAUGCCCUGGCAGUCAGAGGCGAUGAAGGACGUGCUAAUCUGCGAUAAGCGUCGGUGAGGUGAUAUGAACCGUUAUAACCGGCGAUUUCCGAAUGGGGAAACCCAGUGUGUUCGACACACUAUCAUUAACUGAAUCCAUAGGUUAAUGAGGCGAACCGGGGGAACUGAAACAUCUAAGUACCCCGAGGAAAAGAAAUCAACCGAGAUUCCCCCAGUAGCGGCGAGCGAACGGGGAGGAGCCCAGAGCCUGAAUCAGUGUGUGUGUUAGUGGAAGCGUCUGGAAAGGCGCGCGAUACAGGGUGACAGCCCCGUACACAAAAAUGCACAUGCUGUGAGCUCGAUGAGUAGGGCGGGACACGUGGUAUCCUGUCUGAAUAUGGGGGGACCAUCCUCCAAGGCUAAAUACUCCUGACUGACCGAUAGUGAACCAGUACCGUGAGGGAAAGGCGAAAAGAACCCCGGCGAGGGGAGUGAAAAAGAACCUGAAACCGUGUACGUACAAGCAGUGGGAGCCUCUUAAUGGGGUGACUGCGUACCUUUUGUAUAAUGGGUCAGCGACUUAUAUUCUGUAGCAAGGUUAACCGAAUAGGGGAGCCGAAGGGAAACCGAGUCUUAACUGGGCGUUAAGUUGCAGGGUAUAGACCCGAAACCCGGUGAUCUAGCCAUGGGCAGGUUGAAGGUUGGGUAACACUAACUGGAGGACCGAACCGACUAAUGUUGAAAAAUUAGCGGAUGACUUGUGGCUGGGGGUGAAAGGCCAAUCAAACCGGGAGAUAGCUGGUUCUCCCCGAAAGCUAUUUAGGUAGCGCCUCGUGAAUUCAUCUCCGGGGGUAGAGCACUGUUUCGGCAAGGGGGUCAUCCCGACUUACCAACCCGAUGCAAACUGCGAAUACCGGAGAAUGUUAUCACGGGAGACACACGGCGGGUGCUAACGUCCGUCGUGAAGAGGGAAACAACCCAGACCGCCAGCUAAGGUCCCAAAGUCAUGGUUAAGUGGGAAACGAUGUGGGAAGGCCCAGACAGCCAGGAUGUUGGCUUAGAAGCAGCCAUCAUUUAAAGAAAGCGUAAUAGCUCACUGGUCGAGUCGGCCUGCGCGGAAGAUGUAACGGGGCUAAACCAUGCACCGAAGCUGCGGCAGCGACGCUUAUGCGUUGUUGGGUAGGGGAGCGUUCUGUAAGCCUGUGAAGGUGUACUGUGAGGUAUGCUGGAGGUAUCAGAAGUGCGAAUGCUGACAUAAGUAACGAUAAAGCGGGUGAAAAGCCCGCUCGCCGGAAGACCAAGGGUUCCUGUCCAACGUUAAUCGGGGCAGGGUGAGUCGACCCCUAAGGCGAGGCCGAAAGGCGUAGUCGAUGGGAAACAGGUUAAUAUUCCUGUACUUGGUGUUACUGCGAAGGGGGGACGGAGAAGGCUAUGUUGGCCGGGCGACGGUUGUCCCGGUUUAAGCGUGUAGGCUGGUUUUCCAGGCAAAUCCGGAAAACUAAGGCUGAGGCGUGAUGACGAGGCACUACGGUGCUGAAGCAACAAAUGCCCUGCUUCCAGGAAAAGCCUCUAAGCAUCAGGUAACCAUCAAAUCGUACCCCAAACCGACACAGGUGGUCAGGUAGAGAAUACCAAGGCGCUUGAGAGAACUCGGGUGAAGGAACUAGGCAAAAUGGUGCCGUAACUUCGGGAGAAGGCACGCUGAUAUGUAGGUGAAGCCUUGCUCGCGGAUGGAGCUGAAAUCAGUCGAAGAUACCAGCUGGCUGCAACUGUUUAUUAAAAACACAGCACUGUGCAAACACGAAAGUGGACGUAUACGGUGUGACGCCUGCCCGGUGCCGGAAGGUUAAUUGAUGGGGUUAGCGGUAACGCGAAGCUCUUGAUCGAAGCCCCGGUAAACGGCGGCCGUAACUAUAACGGUCCUAAGGUAGCGAAAUUCCUUGUCGGGUAAGUUCCGACCUGCACGAAUGGCGUAAUGAUGGCCAGGCUGUCUCCACCCGAGACUCAGUGAAAUUGAACUCGCUGUGAAGAUGCAGUGUACCCGCGGCAAGACGGAAAGACCCCGUGAACCUUUACUAUAGCUUGACACUGAACAUUGAGCCUUGAUGUGUAGGAUAGGUGGGAGGCUUUGAAGUGUGGACGCCAGUCUGCAUGGAGCCGGCCUUGAAAUACCACCCUUUAAUGUUUGAUGUUCUAACGUUGGCCCCUGACCGGGGUUGCGGACAGUGUCUGGUGGGUAGUUUGACUGGGGCGGUCUCCUCCUAAAGAGUAACGGAGGAGCACGAAGGUUGGCUAAUCCUGGUCGGACAUCAGGAGGUUAGUGCAAUGGCAUAAGCCAGCUUGACUGCGAGCGUGACGGCGCGAGCAGGUGCGAAAGCAGGUCAUAGUGAUCCGGUGGUUCUGAAUGGAAGGGCCAUCGCUCAACGGAUAAAAGGUACUCCGGGGAUAACAGGCUGAUACCGCCCAAGAGUUCAUAUCGACGGCGGUGUUUGGCACCUCGAUGUCGGCUCAUCACAUCCUGGGGCUGAAGUAGGUCCCAAGGGUAUGGCUGUUCGCCAUUUAAAGUGGUACGCGAGCUGGGUUUAGAACGUCGUGAGACAGUUCGGUCCCUAUCUGCCGUGGGCGCUGGAGAACUGAGGGGGGCUGCUCCUAGUACGAGAGGACCGGAGUGGACGCAUCACUGGUGUUCGGGUUGUCAUGCCAAUGGCACUGCCCGGUAGCUAAAUGCGGAAGAGAUAAGUGCUGAAAGCAUCUAAGCACGAAACUUGCCCCGAGAUGAGUUCUCCCUGACUCCUUGAGAGUCCUGAAGGAACGUUGAAGACGACGACGUUGAUAGGCCGGGUGUGUAAGCGCAGCGAUGCGUUGAGCUAACCGGUACUAAUGAACCGUGAGGCUUAACCUU